AGUGAACGCUGGCGGUAGGCCUAACACAUGCAAGUCGAACGGCAGCACAGAGGAGCUUGCUCCUUGGGUGGCGAGUGGCGGACGGGUGAGGAAUACAUCGGAAUCUACUCUGUCGUGGGGGAUAACGUAGGGAAACUUAAGCUAAUAGCGCUUACGACCUACGGGUGAAAGGCGGUGAUCUUAGGACUUUGAGCGAUGGAAUGAGACGAUGUCGGAUAAGCGAGUUGGAGGGGUAAAGGCCCACCAAGGCGACGAUCCGUAGCUGGUCUGAGAAGAAGAUCAGCCACACUGGAACUGAGACACGGUCCAGACUCCUACGGGAGGCAGCAAUGGGGAAUAUUGGACAAUGGGCGCAAGCCUGAUCCAGCCAUACCGCGUGGGUGAAGAAGGCCUUCGGGUUGUAAAGCCCUUUUGUUGGGAAAGAAAUCCAUCUGGUUAAUACCCGGGUGGGAUGACGUUACCCAAAGAAUAAGCACCGGCUAACUUCGUGCCAGCCGCCGCGGUAA
rnacentral:rRNA from 1 species